rnacentral:rRNA from 1 species
GUGGGGAAUAUUGGACAAUGGGCGAAAGCCUGAUCCAGCAAUGCCGCGUGAGUGAUGAAGGCCCUAGGGUUGUAAAGCUCUUUUACCCGGGAUGAUAAUGACAGUACCGGGAGAAUAAGCUCCGGCUAACUUCGUGCCAGCAGCCGCGGUAAUACGAGGGGAGCUAGCGUUGUUCGGAAUUACUGGGCGUAAAGCGCGCGUAGGCGGUUUGUUAAGUCAGAGGUGACAGCCCGGGGCUCAACCCCGGAAUAGCCUUUGAAACUGGAAAACUAGAAUCUUGGAGAGGUCAGUGGAAUUCCGAGUGUAGAGGUGAAAUUCGUAGAUAUUCGGAAGAACACCAGUGGCGAAGGCGACUGACUGGACAAGUAUUGACGCUGAGGUGCGAAAGCGUGGGGAGCAAACAGGAUUAGAUACCCCGGUAGUCC